rnacentral:rRNA from 1 species
UACGGGGGGGGCAAGCGUUGUUCGGAAUUACUGGGCGUAAAGGGCUCGUAGGUGGCCAACUAAGUCAGACGUGAAAUCCCUCGGCUUAACCGGGGAACUGCGUCUGAUACUGGAUGGCUUGAGUUUGGGAGAGGGACGCGGAAUUCCAGGUGUAGCGGUGAAAUGCGUAGAUAUCUGGAGGAACACCGGUGGCGAAGGCGGCGUCCUGGACCAAUACUGACACUGAGUGAGCGAAAGCCAGGGAGCAAAACGGGG